rnacentral:rRNA from 1 species
GACGAACGCUGGCGGCGUGCUUAACACAUGCAAGUCGAACGGAAAGGCCCUGCUUGCGGGGUACUCGAGUGGCGAACGGGUGAGUAACACGUGGGUGGUCUGCCCUGCACUUCGGGAUAAGCCUGGGAAACUGGGUCUAAUACCGGAUAGGAGCCAACUUUAGUGUGAUGGUUGGAAAGUUUUUUCGGUGUAGGAUGAGCUCGCGGCCUAUCAGCUUGUUUGUGGGGUAAUGGCCUACGAAGGCGGAGACGGGUAGGCGGCCUGAGAGGGUGGACGGCCACAUUGGGACUGAGAGACGGCGCAGACGCCUACGGGAGGCAGCAGUGGGGAAUCUUGCACAAUGGGCGCAAGCCUGAUGCAGAGAUGCUGCGUGGGGGAUGACGGCUUUCGAGUUGUAAACUCCGUUCGCUAGGGACGAAGCUUUUUGUGACGGUACCUAGAUAGGAAGCGACGGCUAACUACGUG